rnacentral:rRNA from 1 species
AAAAGCGUAACAAGGUCUCCGUAGGUGAACCUGCGGAGGGAUCAUUACACAAAUAUGAAGGCGGGCUGGAACCUCUCGGGGUUACAGCCUUGCUGAAUUAUUCACCCUUGUCUUUUGCGUACUUCUUGUUUCCUUGGUGGGUUCGCCCACCACUAGGACAAACAUAAACCUUUUGUAAUUGCAAUCAGCGUCAGUAACAAAUUAAUAAUUACAACUUUCAACAACGGAUCUCUUGGUUCUGGCAUCGAUGAAGAACGCAGCGAAAUGCGAUAAGUAGUGUGAAUUGCAGAAUUCAGUGAAUCAUCGAAUCUUUGAACGCACAUUGCGCCCUUUGGUAUUCCAAAGGGCAUGCCUGUUCGAGCGUCAUUUGUACCCUCAAGCUUUGCUUGGUGUUGGGCGUCUUGUCUCUAGCUUUGCUGGAGACUCGCCUUAAAGUAAUUGGCAGCCGGCCUACUGGUUUCGGAGCGCAGCACAAGUCGCACUCUCUAUCAGCAAAGGUCUAGCAUCCAUUAAGCCUUUUUUUCAACUUUGACCUCGGAUCAGGACGAUGC